ACCCCUUACAGUUUGAACCCCCGAAACUAAGCGAGCUACUUCAAAACAGCCUUCCAGGGCCAACCCGUCUCUGUUGCAAAAGAGUGGGAAGAUUUUCAAGUAGAGGUGACAAGCCUACCGAGCUUAGAGAUAGCUGGUUAUUCAAGAAAAGAACCUAAGUUCUGCCUUAAGCUUAAACUAACCUUAAAUAUCCUGAUYAGCUUAAGAGUUAAUCAAAUAGGGUUCAGCCUAUUUGACUCAGGACACAACCAAGACCAAAGGGUAAUGUAGACAAUCUCGUGACCAAGUGGGCCUAAGAGCAGCCACCUUUUAAAAAGCGUUACAGCUUCACCACAAACAUCUAACCAAUUCCACAACCUCUACAAACCCCUYCACCUGUAUUGAAUAAUUUUAUACUCUCUAUAAUAGAUAUUAUGCUAGAACUAGUA
rnacentral:rRNA from 1 species